UGGGGAAUAUUGGACAAUGGGCGCAAGCCUGAUCCAGCAAUGCCGCGUGUGUGAAGAAGGCCUUCGGGUUGUAAAGCACUUUUAUCAGGAGCGAAAUACUACCGAUUAAUACUCGGUGGGGCUGACGGUACCUGAGGAAUAAGCACCGGCUAACUUCGUGCCUGCAGCCGCGGUAAUACGAAGGGUGCAAGCGUUAAUCGGAAUUACUGGGCGUAAAGGGUGCGUAGGCGGUUAUUUAAGUCUGCCGUGAAAUCCCCGGGCUCAACCUGGGAAUGGCGGUGGAUACUGGAUAGCUAGAGUGUGUCAGAGGAUGGUUGAAUUCCCGGUGUCGCGGUGAAAUGCGUAGAGAUCGGGAGGAACAUCAGUGGCGAAGGCGGCCAUCUGGGACAACACUGACGCUGAAGCACGAAAGCGUGGGGAGCAAACA
rnacentral:rRNA from 1 species